GACGUAGGGCGCAAGCGUUGUCCGGAUUUAUUGGGCGUAAAGAGCUCGUAGGCGGCUUGUCGCGUCGACCGUGAAAACCCGCAGCUCAACUGCGGGCUUGCGGUCGAUACGGGCAGGCUCGAGUUCGGUAGGGGAGACUGGAAUUCCUGGUGUAGCGGUGAAAUGCGUAGAGAUCCGGAAGAACACCGGUGGCGAAGGCGGCCCGCUGGGCAGGAAGGUGAGGAGCAAUCCUCACCGGCUGACGCUGAGGCGCGACAGCGUGGGGAGCAAACAGG
rnacentral:rRNA from 1 species